rnacentral:rRNA from 1 species
AUUGAACGCUGGCGGCAUGCCUUACACAUGCAAGUCGAACGGUAACAGGUCUUCGGAUGCUGACGAGUGGCGAACGGGUGAGUAAUACAUCGGAACGUGCCUAGUAGUGGGGGAUAACUACUCGAAAGAGUGACUAAUACCGCAUGAGAUCUACGGAUGAAAGCAGGGGAUCGAAAGACCUUGUGCUACUAGAGCGGCCGAUGGCAGAUUAGGUAGUUGGUGGGAUAAAAGCUUACCAAGCCGACGAUCUGUAGCUGGUCUGAGAGGACAAUCAGCCACACUGGGACUGAGACACGGCCCAGACUCCUACGGGAGGCAGCAGUGGGGAAUUUUGGACAAUGGGCGAAAGCCUGAUCCAGCAAUGCCGCGUGCAGGAUGAAGGCCUUCGGGUUGUAAACUGCUUUUGUACGGAACGAAAAGCCCUGGGUUAAUACCCUGGGGUCAUGACGGUACCGUAAGAAUAAGCACCGGCUAACUACGUGCCAGCCGCCGCCGUAAGAC